AUUGAACGCUGGCGGCAGGCCUAACACAUGCAAGUCGAGCGGAUGAAGUGAGCUUGCUCUCUGAUUUAGCGGCGGACGGGUGAGUAAUGCCUAGGAAUCUGCCUGGUAGUGGGGGAUAACGUUCCGAAAGGAACGCUAAUACCGCAUACGUCCUACGGGAGAAAGCAGGGGACCUUCGGGCCUUGCGCUAUCAGAUGAGCCUAGGUCGGAUUAGCUAGUUGGUGUGGUAAUGGCCCACCAAGGCUACGAUCCGUAACUGGUCUGAGAGGAUGAUCAGUCACACUGGAACUGAGACAGGGUCCAGACUCCUACGGGAGGCAGCAGUGGGGAAUAUUGGACAAUGGGCGAAAGCCUGAUCCAGCCAUGCCGCGUGUGUGAAGAAGGUCUUCGGAUUGUAAAGCACUUUAAGUUGGGAGGAAGGGCAGUAAGUUAAUACCUUGCUGUUUUGACGUUACCGACAGAAUAAGCACCGGCUAACUUCGUGCCAGCAGCCGCCGCCGUAA
rnacentral:rRNA from 1 species